ensembl:misc_RNA
AAAUGGUGGUUGGCCUUUUAGCUCUUUUCUAAUUCAAUCUGGGUGUACCUCAAAGGAGUCUUAAAACGGUGGUGAUAGGAUGCUUUCGUC